CCUACGGGAGGCAACAGUGGGGAAUUUUGGACAAUGGGCGCAAGCCUGAUCCAGCAAUGCCGCGUGAGUGAAGAAGGCCUUCGGGUUGUAAAGCUCUUUUGUCAGGGAAGAAACGGUGGGGGCUAAUAUCCCUCGCUAAUGACGGUACCUGAAGAAUAAGCACCGGCUAACUACGUGCCAGCAGCCGCGGUAAUACGUAGGGUGCAAGCGUUAAUCGGAAUUACUGGGCGUAAAGCGUGCGCAGGCGGUUUUGUAAGUCUGUCGUGAAAGCCCCGGGCUCAACCUGGGAAUUGCGAUGGAGACUGCAAGGCUUGAAUCUGGCAGAGGGGGGUAGAAUUCCACGUGUAGCAGUGAAAUGCGUAGAGAUGUGGAGGAACACCGAUGGCGAAGGCAGCCCCCUGGGUCAAGAUUGACGCUCAUGCACGAAAGCGUGGGGAGCAAACAGGAUUAGAUACCCUGGUAGUCCACGCCCUAAACGAUGUCUACUAGUUGUCGGGUUUUAAUUAACUUGGUAACGCAGCUAACGCGUGAAGUAGACCGCCUGGGGAUACGGUCGCAAGNUUAAAACCUNAAAGAGUAGUACGCGNGAGAGACGCGACGACGACGACGACGGAGGAGGAGG
rnacentral:rRNA from 1 species